AUACAGCUUGCUCUACGGAAACGACUUUUCGGGCAGGAUACCUCCAGAAAUAUUUAAUUUGUCAGGUCUCAGUGAUCUGAUGAUAAGUGGUGUGCUGUACUCUUCUUUCCAAUUCCCACCGGUUUCAAACCUAUCCGACAUAACUAAUCUGGUAAUGAGAAACUGCGAGAUCACAGGUGCAAUUCCUAGAUACCUUUUUAAUGUGUCAUCAUUAAAACAUUUAGACUUGAGCUUCAACAACUUAACCGGUGAUAUUCCAGAACUUUUGACCAAUGAUUUAAACUUAACCUAUAUGU